rnacentral:lncRNA from 1 species
CUUCAUCCCCACUGGAAGAAGUCUCUAAGCCUUAUCUGGACAUGCAAGCAAUUCACUUUGAGAUCCCAUAAUGAUACAGUUUGGUUGUUUCUUUGAUUUAUUAUUUUUUUUAGAUGCAUUAAAUGUUGAGUAAUGUCACCCAGGUUGACACCUCUGGAGACUGAAGUCCUCUGGCCAUCGAGAAGGGCAGUUUCUCCUUCCUCCUCUCCUUAAACCCCUGCCUCAACCUGGAGGGGCAGCUCCAAAGGGGGAGCCUGAAGUUGUCCUGCUGUCUGUGAGCCUGGGCUUCUGCUGCCUGCCACCAGCAACGUGCUGAGAUGAGGUGACCUGCAGCUGCGUGGGACCUGGACUGACCUCACCAGGACGUGGGUUACAAAGCCCUUGGCUGGAAGCUGCCCCAGAAUCGUUUUGCCUGCAGCGCUUGUGUCCCUUCGAGAGGUGUUGGGUGAGUCAGAAUUUUCUUUGAUAAGGUGAAUUUAAAACCCUGCCUAGCCAGCCAGCCUCUUUAAUUAAUUUUAAAGCAUUUAAUAGAAGAGUAGGAGGAACAUCCCUCAGUGCUAAAAAGAAGUUCACUGCUGGAGGGAAUCAAAAAUGAUGGUCAAGGGGAAAUUUAAAUUAAUAUCAAUAUGUCAGGGCUCUUCAGCAGUGAGUGCAGACGGCUGCUAAUGCCAGCGUUCAACCCAAACACUGGAGCCUCGUUUGUUUAGGGUAAUUUUGUUUAACUAUGGAAGGUCAUAACGACAGCAGCAGAUAAUUGGAAAGGCAAAUCUAACUCCUUCCUUGCUCAAAAGUCCUCUUUCCUUUCUUGCUGCUUUUUGGAGGCCAGAAACACCCAGCAAGGACCUGCAGCAGCCCAGGGGUGAAGGAGAGCAUUUGGCUGCAGUGUUUGCUUUGAAGAAAUCAUCUUGCGUGUCGGCAGCAUCCAUGCGUGCAGGCGGCAGCGUUAGCCCCAGCAUUCUGGCCAGCAUCCAGAGAAGCCAAACGAUGGAAAUGCCGGUAACUGUGUCCUGGUUCCUUGCAGAUCAAUGCCCCCCCCCGGCGCCUCCAACUUGGCAGGACCUGGUGACCCACCCUGGUCUGUCGGCAGAAGUGACGUUUGGGGUGGCCGAAGGGCUGAGCCCUCCCCGUAAUCCCUGCCUUGCCCUCGCUGCCUCUGGGCUUGGUUUUACGCAGCUGUAA